GAUGAACGCUGGCGGUAUGCUUAACACAUGCAAGUCGAACGGACUCUUCGGAGUUAGUGGCGGACGGGUGAGUAACGCGUGAGAAUCUGGCUUUGGGUUCGGGACAACACUGGGAACGGGGGCUUAUACCGGAUGUGGCGAGAGGUAAAAGAGAAAUUUCCUGAAGAUGAGCUCGCGUCUGAUUAGCUAGUUGGUUAGGUAAAGGCUCACCAAGGGAGCGAUCAGUAGCUGGUCUGAGAGGAUGACCAGCCAAACUGGGACUGGGACACGGCCCAGACUCAUACGGGAGGAAGCAGUGGGGAAUUUUCCGCAAUGGGCGAAAGCCUGACGGAGCAAUACCGCGUGAGGGAAGAAGGCUCUUGGGUUGUAAACCUCUUUUCUUAGGGAAGAACAAAAUGACGGUACCUAAGGAAUCAGCAUCGGCUAACUCCGUG
rnacentral:rRNA from 1 species